rnacentral:rRNA from 1 species
CGAACGCUGGCGGCGCGCUUAACACAUGCACGUCGAACGGAAAGGCCUGCUUUCCCUUGUGGAUUGCGGGUACUCGAGUGGCGAACGGGUGAGUAACACGUGAGUGAUCUGCCCCCAACUUGGGUAUAAGCCUGGGAAACUGGGUCUAAUUCCCGAUAGGACUGCAGGGUGGUGCCUGUGGUGGAAAACGAUUUUCUAGUGGUUGGGGAUGAGCUCGCGGCCUAUCAGCUUGUUGGUGGGGUAAUGGCCUACCAAGGCGGCGACGGGUAGCCGGCCUGAGAGGGUGGACGGCCACAUUGGGACUGAGAUACGGCCCAGACUCCUACGGGAGGCAGCAGUGGGGAAUAUUGCACAAUGGGCGGAAGCCUGAUGCAGCGACGCCGCGUGGGGGAUGACGGCCUUCGGGUUGUAAACUCCUUUCGACCGCGAGGAAGCCACCUGGUUGGAAGGGUGGUGACGGUAGUGGUAGAAGAAGCACCGGCUAACUACGUG